UACAGCCAAGGGAGUUGGGUGGAGACUCCGCUUGAGAUUUUAAGGAGACAAAGAUGAGGACGCCUUCCUCCCCCGUGGAGACAAAGUUGUGGAGCUGACAGAUUGCUUCGUCUUUUCACGCGACGGGGAACGAGGGGCGGAGAAGCAAAACCUCGGUUCUGGCAGCCGCCGAGCCCAACGCGGGAGGCGGCGUGGAUCCUGGCAGCUCGCGUGUUCCAUGAGAGACACCUGCUUUGCUGGCAGCCGGGAGACAAAGGCUCAGAAUAGCACAGGCGAACCCACUCACAAAAACACAGAAGCUCCCCUGGACUGUAGGCAAGGGGUCGGGGUCGGGGGAAGGCCAGGAGGAGGCCUGGGGCGGGGCUGACUUGGAGCAUGUCCCAGCGCCGUCAAAGGGACUUGAAUUUCCCCCGUGAUGGGCCGGGAAUGGAAUCCAACGCCCGUCGAGUUCAGAGGCGGCGAGAGCCUGGCUCAGGGCUCGCAAGCACCUGUGUCUUCGCACACGUACGGUUGUGUGUUCCCAGCACCUACUGGCACCUGAUACAUGGUGGCUGCUCCGGAGGCAUCCGUCGAAUGAUGAGUGAGCAUUUCGGUUGAUUGCCAUAGAGUUUCUGACUACACAGAUAGAGGACCUGAAAAAGAGAGAGAGAAAAGGAUAAUUUCAUCUCUUGGUUUCCAAUAAUUAAACUCAUUUUUUCAUUGUCUCUUUGGUUAAAAACUACCAGAACAACAUUGAAUAAUAUGGUGAGAGGGUACACAUUUUA